rnacentral:rRNA from 1 species
GACGAACGCUGGCGGCGUGCUUAACACAUGCAAGUCGAACGGAAAGGCCCUGCUUGCAGGGUACUCGAGUGGCGAACGGGUGAGUAACACGUGGGUGAUCUGCCCUGCACUUCGGGAUAAGCCUGGGAAACUGGGUCUAAUACCGGAUAGGAGCCAUUUUUAGCGUGAUGGUUGGAAAGUUUUUUCGGUGUAGGAUGAGCUCGCGGCCUAUCAGCUUGUUGGUGGGGUAAUGGCCUACCAAGGCGGCGACGGGUAGCCGGCCUGAGAGGGUGGACGGCCACAUUGGGACUGAGGGACGGCCCAGACUCCUACGGGAGGAAGCAGUGGGGAAGAUUGCACAAUGGGCGCAAGCCUGAUGCAGCGACGCCGCGGGGGGGAUGACGGCCUUCGGGUUGUAAACUCCUUUCGCUAGGGACGAAGCUUUUUGUGACGGUACCUAGAUAAGAAGCACCGGCUAACUACGUG